CCGAGUCUAGCACUCCCAAACCCACUGUGAACCGAUACCUAUCGUUGCUUCGGCGGCUCCGCCCCGCGGCCCUCGGGCCCGGAACCAGGCGGCCGCCGGAGGCCCGCAAACCCUACUGUAUAUCGUCCCACCGGCGGCAUUGUCUGAGUACAAACAAAUAACGAAUCA
rnacentral:misc_RNA from 1 species